rnacentral:rRNA from 1 species
CCAAUAGCGUAUAUUAAAGUUGUUGCUGUUAAAAAGCUCGUAGUUGAACUUCGGGAUUUGCCCAUUGGUCAGGCUUAACUGUCUGCACUGGUGUGACGAGUUCCUAUCUUCUGAGGAAUCUCCAUGUCAUUCAGUUGGUGUGGGGGGAAAUCAGGACUGUUACUUUGAAAAAAUUAGAGUGUUUAAAGCAGGCAAUCCGUCUGAAUACAUUAGCAUGGAA